rnacentral:rRNA from 1 species
UACGUAGGUGACAAGCGUUGUCCGGAUUUACUGGGCGUAAAGAGCGCGCAGGCGGUCGUUCAAGUCGAGUGUGAAAGCCCCCGGCUCAACUGGGGAGGGUCACUCGAUACUGAUCGACUCGAAGGCAGGAGAGGGAAGUGGAAUUCCCGGUGUAGUGGUGAAAUGCGUAGAUAUCGGGAGGAACACCAGUGGCGAAGGCGACUUCCUGGCCUGUUCUUGACGCUGAGGCGCGAAGGCGUGGGGAGCGAACGGGG